rnacentral:rRNA from 1 species
UCACUUUCAACAACGGAUCUCUUGGCUCUCGCAUCGAUGAAGAACGUAGCGAACUGCGAUAAGUAAUGUGAAUUGCAGAAUUCCUGAAUCAUCGAAUUUUUGAACGCAAAAUGCACUCUCUUUGGAGAGUAUGCCUGUUUGAGGGUCAGUA